UGACAGUGAACAUUCAACGCUGUCGGUGAGUUUUGGAGCGUGAGAAACCAUCGAGUGUUGAGUGUACCCUACCU
rnacentral:pre_miRNA from 1 species